rnacentral:hammerhead_ribozyme from 1 species
AUCCAGCUGACGAGUUCCAAACAGGACGAAACGCGCGUCAAACUGGAU